AUGGACUGGACUUCGAGUCCUGCCCACGGUUGCCCUGGCAGGGCCAGACCAGCGGUUUCCCUGUCCUUAUCCACUCCCACCCCUGCCCAACGUGGCUGCCACGCUCUCUGCUGUUCACGCUCCUCCCACCAGGAGGAGGGCUGCACACCUGGCAGGGCCCUGGUCCUGGGCCGGGCUGGCUCCCCGUUCCGUGUGGGUGCUCAGGGCUCGGCCACUGCAGCUCCCAGCCUGGGUGCAGCCAGCAGCUCUGCCACAGCCUUAGCUCUUCCUGCAAACAGAGGGCGGGCCUGGUUCUGCACCACGUCAGCACAGAGGGCGGGCCUGGUUCUGCACCACGUCAGCACGCACCGAAGUGACCUGGGCAGACGGCUGGUCGGGGGCUACAUGACACUCACUGUCAAUUCAGUGGUGCCGAACUUCACAUUUUUCAUAAUAGAACAUGGGAAAAUGAACAAGAUGGGCUCCCGCACAGAAGCAGCCACAGCAGGAGGCAGGAGUGUCCUCCGUGCAAGCACAGAAGGGCAGCAGGCCUGCACCAUGUGUGUUCCACGUGGUUCUAGCCGACGGUGGCAGAAGUGCUGGAAGGGGGCGCGGUCGGUGCUGCCGUCCACUUCCUCGGCCAGGACCUAUCUGGGGCUGGAGGAGCAGCAGUGUCGGCGGCACUCCUGCUACGAACGCCUCUUCUCCUCGGGUGUUCAAAUGUGCUCACCGCUGUCACUGUGCCCCCAGGCCCACCCCCAUGCUCCUGCUAGCACAGCUCGGCCACGACACGGCCCCCGUGAGGGCAGCUCCCUGUCCGAGAACCACGGAGGACUCCGGCUGUGGUCAGUUACGCCACACGUCUCUGCCUGCACACACUUCCAUAAGCAUCACACAUUCCCCCAAACAGAAGCCCCGCAGGACAAGGUAAACCAAAUUAAAUUUACCUUGGAAUUCAGACCUGGCGCUCCGCCAGCUGCACUUCCAGUGCUCCCGAGCCCCACGUGGCCAGGCCAGGUGUCAGAGGAGUGA
rnacentral:lncRNA from 1 species